rnacentral:rRNA from 1 species
CCUACGGGAGGCAGCAGUGGGGAAUAUUGCACAAUGGGGGAAACCCUGAUGCAGCGACGCCGCGUGCGUGAAGAAGUAUUUCGGUAUGUAAAGCUCUAUCAGCAGGGAAGAAAUAGCGACCUUUGGGUCGCCAGACGGUACCUGAUUAAGAAGCGCCGGCUAACUACGUGCCAGCAGCCGCGGUAAUACGGAGGGGGCAAGCGUUAUCCGGAUUUACUGGGUGUAAAGGGAGCGUAGACGGCAGCGCAAGUCUGAAGUGAAAUGCCGGGGCUUAACCCCGGAACUGCUUUGGAAACUGUGCAGCGAGAGUGCAGGUAAGGUAAGUGGAAUGCCUAGUGUAGCGGUGAAAUGCGUAGAUAUUAGGAGGAACACCAGUGGCGAAGGCGGCUUACUAGACUGUAACUGACAUUGAGGCUCGAAAGCGUGGGGAGCAAACAGGAUUAGAUACCCGUGUAGUC